UGGCGGACGGGUGAGUAAUGUCUGGGAAACUGCCCGAUGGAGGGGGAUAACUACUGGAAACGGUAGCUAAUACCGCAUAACGUCGCGAGACCAAAGAGGGGGACCUUAGGGCCUCUUGCCAUCGGAUGUGCCCAGAUGGGAUUAGCUAGUAGGUGGGGUAACGACUCACCUAGGCGACGAUCCCUAGCUGGUCUGAGAGGAUGACCAGCCACACUGGAACUGAGACACGGUCCAG
rnacentral:rRNA from 1 species